rnacentral:rRNA from 1 species
ACGGCUCAGUAACACGUGGCUAACCUACCCUUAGGACGGGGACAACCCCGGGAAACUGGGGCUAACAUCUGAUAGGUGAGGAGGCCUGGAAUGGUUCCUCCCUGAAAAGGCGUUGAAACCAUGCUUUUCAGCGUCGCCUAAGGAUGGGGCCGCGCCCGAUCAGGUUGUUGGUGGGGUAACGGCUCACCAAGCCAUUAACCGGUACGGGCCGUGAGAGCGGGAGCCCGGAGAUGGGCACUGAGACAAGGGCCCAGGCCCUACGGGGCGCAGCAGUCGCGAAAACUCCGCAAUGCGCGAAAGCGUGACGGGGCUACCCCGAGUGCCGUCCGCUGAGGAUGGCUUUUCCCCAGUGUAAUGAGCCGGGGGAAUAAGGAGAGGGCAAGACUGGUGUCAGCCGCCGCGGUAAUACCAGCUCUCCGAGUGGCAGGGACAAUUAUUGGGCUUAAAGCGUCCGUAGCCGGCUUGGCAAGUCUCCUGUUAAAUUCAGCGACUUAAUCGUUGAGCCGCGGGAGAUACUACUAGGCUAGGAGGCGGGAGAGGCCGACGGUAUUCCCGGGGUAGGGGUGAAAUCCUAUAAUCCCGGGAGGACCACCAGUGGCGAAGGCUGUCGGCUAGAACGCGCUCGACGGUGAGGGACGAAAGCUGGGGGAGCGAACCGGAUUAGAUACCCGGGUAGUCCCAGCCGUAAACGAUGCGGGCUAGGUGUUGAGGUGGCUACGAGCCACUUCAGUGCCGCAGGGAAGCCAUUAAGCCCGCCGCCUGGGGAGUACGGCCGCAAGGCUGAAACUUAAAGGAAUUGGCGGGGGAG